GGUAACGUAACGACUGACUAACCUACCCUCGAGUGGGGAAUAACCUAGAGAAAUCUGGGCUAAUACCGCAUAACACUUACGAGUCAAAGCAGCAAUGCGCUUGGGGAGGGGGUCGCGGCAGAUUAGCUAGUUGGCGGGGUAAUGGCCCACCAAGGCAAUGAUCUGUAUCCGGCCUGAGAGGGCGCACGGACACACUGGAACUGAAACACGGUCCAG
rnacentral:rRNA from 1 species